AAUAGAUACCCAGGUAGUCCACGCCGUAAACGAUGAUGACUAGCUGUCGGGGCGCUUAGCGUUCCGGUGGCGCAGCUAACGCGUUAAGUCAUCCGCCUGGGGAGUACGGCCGCAAGGUUAAAACUCAAAGAAAUUGACGGGGGCCUGCACAAGCGGUGGAGCAUGUGGUUUAAUUCGACGCAACGCGAAGAACCUUACCUGGGCUUGACAUGUCCGUGACAACUGUGGAAACACAGUCUCCCUUCGGGGCACGGUCACAGGUGGUGCAUGGCUGUCGUCAGCUCGUGUCGUGAGAUGUUGGGUUAAGUCCCGCAACGAGCGCAACCCUCGUCCUCAGUUGCCAUCAUUCAGUUGGGCACUCUGGGGAGACUGCCGGUGAUAAGCCGCGAGGAAGGUGUGGAUGACGUCAAGUCCUCAUGGCCCUUACGGGAUGGGCUACACACGUGCUACAAUAGCGGUGACAGUGGGACGCGAACCCGCGAGGGCAAGCAAAUCUCCAAAAGCCGUCUCAGUUCGGAUUGUA
rnacentral:rRNA from 1 species